rnacentral:rRNA from 1 species
UACGUAGGGGGCAAGCGUUAUCCGGAUUUACUGGGUGUAAAGGGAGCGUAGACGGCCAGACAAGUCUGAAGUGAAAAUCCAGCGCUUAACGUUGGAAGUGCUUUGGAAACUGCCGGGCUAGAGUGCAGGAGGGGCAGGCGGAAUUCCUAGUGUAGCGGUGAAAUGCGUAGAUAUUAGGAGGAACACCAGUGGCGAAGGCGGCCUGCUGGACUGCGACUGACGUUGAGGCUCGAAGGCGUGGGGAGCAAACAGG